UACGUAGGGUGCAAGCGUUAAUCGGAAUUACUGGGCGUAAAGCGUGCGCAGGCGGUUUUGUAAGUCUGACGUGAAAUCCCCGGGCUCAACCUGGGAAUUGCGUUGGAGACUGCAAGGCUAGAAUCUGGCAGAGGGGGGUAGAAUUCCACGUGUAGCAGUGAAAUGCGUAGAGAUGUGGAGGAACACCGAUGGCGAAGGCAGCCCCCUGGGUCAAGAUUGACGCUCAUGCACGAAAGCGUGGGGAGCAAACAGGAUGAGAAAACCUCGUAGUCC
rnacentral:rRNA from 1 species